ACCUUUGUCUCUGUCAUUGGAUAGCUUGACGUUCUUAUACCAACACGCAAAAUUGAUGGAGUUUGUGGGGUUUUUGGCGGCGAAUGAACUUCCACAUCAGAUAAAUGUUUAUCACUUGUUGUUGCAGAAACACCCCUCUUGUCGGCUACUUCUUUAACAAGCAUACUUUUUACGAUUGUGUCCACAACUUCUUCCUGACCUUGUG
ensembl:ncRNA F19H6.9 ncRNA